GCCCACCUAGCUCAAUGGUCGAGCGUUGGCUUUGAAAGCCAAAGAUCGGUGGUUCGAUCCCGCCCGGGACA
rnacentral:tRNA from 1 species